AAGGACUUGCAUCAUCACUGGCGGGAGACUUUAGUGUCAAUCUGGCGACGUUAGGGAGAGGGUGUGUGAGUUACUGCGGUGCUCCCGUGGUCACUUGGAUUCCUUGGGUGGUCAACAAAUGUGACUUUUUGACUCGAGACGAAACGCAUCGCAGGGUCCACCUCGUACCAACAAGGGUGAGGCAGCAUGAGGGAAAGAGGGCCGGGGCGCAACAUGUGACGGGAGACGCCCUGCUGCAGCUGCGUGGUGGAUGCGGCGGCGCUGGUGGUGGUGGUAGUGGUGGCGGUGAAUGGAGACACUGAAAUAAAAAGAGUUAUAAUGAAAGCACGGAAGAAGAUAAAAGUCUAAUGUUUGUUGGUUUUAUUAUGAGUGUGUGAAACAAGAGGAAAAAAAAGUGAAUGAAAGGACCAGGAUAUGCCAAAAGAAGGUUGCUACGAGAAAUGUGACUGAAAUGCUGACAUGAAUUACUAGCAAGAGUCAAGUGUCUAUUAUAAUGAGGUACACUAACAUAAAUAGCAGGAAAUAUAAGUGUACGAAGGUAACUGAAGAUGUAACUGUAAUAAUGCGAGACUACUAAUUAAGAAGACGUGAAAGGAAACAUACUGGAAUUACAACGAUGCAGAUUACUUAGGAUUCUUAAAUUACAUCAUCCAGAGACUACCUAGGAUAAUGUAACGUGUGGUGCCAAUAUUAAACAGAAAACGGGACUAACCAGUAACCAACCAGCCAGCCAGCCAGUCAGCCAGUCAGUCAUCCAGCCACCCCGUCAACCAGCCCACCAGUCAGUCAUUCAGGCAACCAACCAAACACUACAAGAUUACCAGAAAGAAUAGAAAAAUAAGAAGAUAAUUAAGGAAAAUGUGACUUCUAUAUAAUUCUUAACAAGGAAAUAGGUGAUACCACUAACCAGCAAGUCAAUUCAUCCAUAUACAUGAGUAACUAUACAUAGAAUACUUAAAAGAACAAAAUUAGGCUUGAGUGGCUCGAAUAUUAAUGAGUAAUUGGAAGCGUGCAGUAUUUAGCAAUCACUGAGGAAAAGAAAACGGAAAAUUACUACAUAUCAAAAACAAAAGAAAAUAAUGUAACUAAGUGUCAAUACAAUAAAAAGAAAAUAGUCUAGUAAGCAACCACGCAAGAAGAAAAAAGAAAGAAAAGAAAAUAGAAAAAAUAGAAAGAAUUGUUACAUACACAAAAUAAAAUAAAAUAAAAUGUAGCUAGGGUGUCAAAACGAGAGAGAGAGAGAGAGAGAGAGAGAGAGAGAGAGAGAGAGAGAGAGAGAGAGAGAGAGAGAGAAUAGUAACUAACCACACAAACAGAAAAAGAAGAAAGAAAAGAAAAGAAAAAAAGAAAACAGGAAUUACUAGAAAUACACCAAAUAAAUAUGUAACUAAAGUGCCAAUACGAAACAACAACAACAACAACAACAACAACAACAACAACAACAACAACAGCCUAGUAACCAACCACUCCAAGCCUCAAUCAGUCAGUUAUCCCGCCAAGAACCGUUAACCACAUUCAAAAGCUCAGUUCAAGCAGUGGUGAUGACAAAGUGGAUACAGAAUAGUGGUGUUGUCUCUGGUGGUGCGUGAGGGCUGGUCAACUGAGCCCCAACACCGCCAGCCGCCUGAACCAGCUGGACUUGUGUUGUGGUGGCGAGGUGCGGUGUCGAGUGCGUGGUGGUGGUGGUGGUGGUGACGUGUAGUUGCGGGCGGAUCUCGUAACUCACCACCACUGCUCAUCAUUAUCAUCUUCUAUCAUCACUCUUCUUCUUCUUCAAGCUUCAGCGGACGAAUCUGAAGCUGGCCGGGUCCCCGCAUAACAGA